rnacentral:rRNA from 1 species
CCUACGGGUGACAGCAGUGAGGAAUAUUGGUCAAUGGACGAGAGUCUGAACCAGCCAAGCAGCGUGAAGGAUGACUGUGCCAAGGGUUGUAAACUUCUUUUAUAAAGGAAUAAAAUGAGGCACGAGAGCCUGUCCGCAUGUACUUUAUGAAUAAGCAUCGGCUAACUCCGUGCCAGCAGCCGCGGUAAUACGGAGGAUCCGAGCGUUAUCCGGAUUUAUUGGGUUUAAAGGGAGCGUAGAUGGGUUGUUAAGUCAGUUGUGAAAGCUUGGGGCUCAACCCUAACAGAGCAAUUGAUACUGGCAGUCUUGAGAAGAGGUGAGGUAGGCGGAAUUCGUGGUGUAGCGGUGAAAUGCUUAGAUAUCGCGCAGAACCCCGAUUGCGAAGGCAGCAUACUAGAGUGGGACUGACGUUGAGGCACGAAAGUGUGGGUAUCGAACAGGAUUAGAUACCCCUGUAGUC